rnacentral:lncRNA from 1 species
ACGUCAGUAGCUGAUGGUGCCGGAGAUACACCAGUGGUGGUGACGGCCGGAGAAGGUGCUCCAGUAGGUGGUGCUGGUGGGCUCGAAGUUAAGGGAGAUGGUGCAGCCGAUGGAGUCACGACUGGGGAAGAGACUGGGACGGGAGCUGGUGGUGGUGAAGCUGCAGGAGGAGGAGUGGCUGCUGGUGGUGGUGACGCGACAGGAGGGGGAGUGGCUACAGGUGGUGGUGAGGCAACAGGAGGUGGAGUGGCUACAGGUGGUGGUGAGGAUACAGGAGGUGGAGUGGCUACAGGUGGUGGUGAGCUGACUGGCGGAGGAGUGGCAACGGGUGGAGGAGUUGAGACAGGUGGCGAUGCGACGGUUGGUGGUGGNNNNNNNNNNNNNN